UACGUAGGGGGCAAGCGUUGUCCGGAAUCAUUGGGCGUAAAGAGCGUGUAGGCGGCCCGGUAAGUCCGCUGUGAAAGUCAAAGGCUCAACCUUUGAAUGUCAGCGGAUACUGCCGGGCUAGAGUCCGGAAGAGGCGAGUGGAAUUCCUGGUGUAGCGGUGGAAUGCGCAGAUAUCAGGAGGAACACCAGUGGCGAAGGCGCCGCUCUGGGCCGUGACUGACGCUGAGGAGCGAAAGCGUGGGUAGCAAACAGG
rnacentral:rRNA from 1 species